GUGGAACAUUAUGUGGAAACUACGACAAGCAGAACACGUGCGGGAACUUCUCAGCUUUUAAGAUCACAAGCUUGUAAGACUAGCACAUUCCAGGGUUCCUACUUUGUUAGGAUUGUAAAUCUGUGGAACUAUGCAUGUAAAACUGCUCCUUCGAACAGCUUCGACACUCUCUCCUCCUUCAAAACAUACCUCCACAAGACUUACCUCCAACUUACUGCCACUGCUUACACUCCUGACUUACCUAGCUCACACUCAUUGAUCACGACUGAAUAAUAUCUCCUAUAUCAGUCGUUCUCUUCUCCUCUCUCUUAAUUUCUUUACUUCUUCUCAUGUACUUUUUCUAUUCUAUAUUAAUGUGUUGUUUUGUCUGUACUGUCCUGAUUAAUGGUGAGCACCAUGCAUGGACCCUAGUCUCGUUUGUGCUUCUCCAUCUUUGGCACGUUUUUACUUAUUGUUAUUCUUGUGUUAGUUUGUGCUAGUUAUGUACAAUAAUGUGUGCCUCUUUGCAUGUGUGCCAAACAAAGCUGUUAAAUUAAAAUUAAAUUAAAUUAAAAUUAAAUUAAUAUAUGGUGGACGACUAUAUUAUAAUUUCAGAUAUGGCCACCACUCAGACUCAGUAGUAACAUAAAUUACCAUAUAUUUC